GACGAACGCUGGCGGCGUGCCUAAUACAUGCAAGUCGAGCGCAGGAAACUGACGGAACUCUUCGGAGGGAAGGCAGUGGAAUGAGCGGCGGACGGGUGAGUAACACGUAAGGAACCUGCCUCAAGGAUUGGGAUAACUCCGAGAAAUCGGAGCUAAUACCGGAUAGUUCAACGGACCGCAUGGUCCGCUGAUGAAAGGCGCUUCGGCGUCACCUUGAGAUGGCCUUGCGGUGCAUUAGCUAGUUGGUGGGGUAACGGCCCACCAAGGCGACGAUGCAUAGCCGACCUGAGAGGGUGAUCGGCCACACUGGGACUGAGACACGGCCCAGACUCCUACGGGAGGCAGCAGUAGGGAAUCUUCCACAAUGGACGAAAGUCUGAUGGAGCAACGCCGCGUGAGUGAUGAAGGUUUUCGGAUCGUAAAACUCUGUUGUAAGGGGAGAACACGUACGAGAGGUAAUGCUCGUACCUUGACGGUACCUUACGAGAAAGCCACGGCUAACUACGUGCCAGCAGCCGCAGUAACAC
rnacentral:rRNA from 1 species